CUUUUGAUAUAUUUUGCAUGCAUUAACGAAAUAACUUGAAUAACCUAAUUGAUAUUAACACAGUCAGUAUACUAGGAUAUGAUAUCUUAAGGCGCGAUAGAAAUCGAUACGGUGGAGGGGUUGCAAUUUAUAUACGAGAUAACCUCGUUUAUGUCAACCGGAAUGAUUUAAUUCCUGAAAACUUAGAAGCAAUCAGUUGUAUCGAGAUCAAAAAGCCUAGAAUAAAGGUUACUUCCUGGUAAUUGGUUACUUCCUGGUAAUGUGCGCCGGACUUUAAUGACUAUUUUGAAAUAUUCUUACUUAAAGCCGAGCAGGAAAACAACUGAAGAUAUAAUUAUAACAGGAGAUCUUAACUGCAAUUUAUUUUCUGCCGAAGAGAAUACACAAACAAAGAAACUUAAACAUAUAGUGCACAUGUAUGAACUAAGUCAACAUCUCACCACACCAACGAGAAUAACCAGCAAUUCGCAGUCCUUGAUUGACAUCAACAAAAGUUGAUGAUACUAAAACCUCUGACUCCGGUGUUAUUCAUGUAGGGAUUAGCGAUCACAGCCCUGUAUAUAUUUGCCGUAAAAUUGGCAUCAUGAAAGAAAACCCAAAAUUAGUUGAAACUAGACAAUUUAAACAUGAUUUAAGUAAUGCAUUUAUAGUGCCUUUCGUAACUUUAAUGACGUAAAUUAUGCAUGGAGACUUGGAAAAAAAUCUUUUUGGACAUUGCUAAUCAGCAUGCUCCAUUGAGACAUAAAAGGGUUAAAAGUGAAUAUAUUCCAUGGAUGAUCAACGAGAUUAGGAGGCAAUGUCAUCACCGAGAUUAUUUAAAAAAGAAAGCGGUUAUAGACUGAACUCACCUUACUAUUUCCAGGCUUAUAUUUAUAAGUUAUAAGCAAAGCAAAAACAAAUUGAAUAGGUGUACAAAAGAAACAAAGAGGCUCUACUAUACAGGAAAUCUAAGGCAACAACGAUUAAUGAGAUCAAUGUUAAUGGGGGUAAAAUUGUAGGCGACAAGAAUAUUGCUGACGAAUUUAAGUUUUCAGAAAGAAAUAGGGAAAAAACUUGCAAGUGAAAUUCCGCAAAAUUAUAUGGAUCCUCUAGAUCUUGUAAUUACAGUGUCAAACUCAUUUACCUUUAAAUCAAUACCAAAAGAGGACUUAUGUCAUGCCAUUUCGUGCAUGAAAGCAAAUAGAUCAGCAGGCAUCGAUAAAAUUUCAGUUAGACUUAUACAUGGAGCUGGAAGUACUAAUCUUAG